GGGGCUGUGGCAUAUCGGGUGAAGCAGCAGCCUGCAGUGCUGGUGUCCCCUAUGGGCUCUGGUUCAAGUCCUGGCUGCUCCU
rnacentral:tRNA from 1 species